rnacentral:rRNA from 1 species
GUGAGGAAUAUUGGUCAAUGGGCGCAAGCCUGAACCAGCCAUGCCGCGUGCAGGAAGACGGUCCUAUGGAUUGUAAACUGCUUUUAUUUGGGAAUAAACUCCGGUACGUGUACCGGCCUGAAGGUACCAAAUGAAUAAGCACCGGCUAACUCCGUGCCAGCAGCCGCGGUAAUACGGAGGGUGCAAGCGUUAUCCGGAAUCAUUAGGUUUAAAGGGUCCGCAGGCGGUCUUAUAAGUCAGUGGUGAAAGCCUACAGCUCAACUGUAGAACUGCCAUUGAUACUGUAGGACUUGAAUUCGAUCGAAGUGGGCGGAAUGUGACAUGUAGCGGUGAAAUGCUUAGAUAUGUCACAGAACACCGAUAGCGAAGGCAGCUCACUAGGUCUGGAUUGACGCUCAGGGACGAAAGCGUGGGGAGCAAACAGGAUUAGAUACCCUUGUAGUCC